rnacentral:rRNA from 1 species
GCCCAACAGCUAGCCCACCUAAACAAUUUCAACAAACCCCUGUUAAUACCCCCUAAAUACCCCAGUAUUUAAAUUAAACAAACCAUUUUUCCCCCUUAGUAUAGGCGAUAGAAACGGGGCUCCGGCGCAAUAGAGAAAGUACCGCAAGGGAAUGCUGAAAGAGAAGUGAAAUAACCCAGUGAAGCCUGAAAAAGCAGAGAUUUAAACUCGUACCUUUUGCAUCAUGAUUUAGCGAGUGUACCUCAAGCAAAGAGCACUUUAGUUUGACGUCCCGAAACUACGUGAGCUACUCCAAGACAGCCUAUUAAUAGGGCGCACCCGUCUCUGUGGCAAAAGAGUGGGGAGAGCUUUGAGUAGAGGUGACAAACCUACCGAACCUAGUUAUAGCUGGUUGUCCAAGAAAUGAAUAGAAGUUCAGCCUCUUGGCUUCUCUUUUCACCCUAGUUUAACCCCUAUUGAUGCACUAAAGAAACCGAGAGAGUUAGUCAAAGGGGGUACAGCCCCUUUGAAUCAAGACACAACUUUACCAGGCGGGU